UUGGAGAGGGGAGAAAACAAAGCCAUGAAGUUUAUAUUCUAUUGCAGGUUGCCUCAAACAGAUGAACUAAGGCUCAAGCAUGCUAGCAGCAGUAUUAAGACUGAUAUCUUUUGAAAGGAAACAAAAACUUAAUCCAGAAAACUCUUUUUUUUCUUUUUUUCUUUUUUUUUCUUUGCUUACUAUUAUUUUUUUUUUGCUUUCUGGAUUAUUUAUUAUUAUUUUGUGUUUCUAGAUCUUUAUUUCCUUUUCUUUAUGAUGUUACAGAAAAUUAAGAACUAAUUUCAAUCCCCCCUGAUGCAACCUGCAGCUGGAGAAAGAAGGCUUCAUCAACAGGUUCCACUUGAUACUUAAACCUCUUCUUGUCAUUGGGUUCUGUAGGCACAUACCACUGCAAUAGCGUUCUGUCCCUGGGGAAAGGGUCACCGUGAGAAUGGGGCUGCAAUUCCAAUGCACUUCCAUCAACUUUGGAGAGCAAGUAUGGGAACUCUUCCAUCUGUGCCAGCCUCUGAUAAAAAGACUAUGGAACAUAGGUGAGAAGAGACACCUCCUGCUCCUGUGAAGCCUCACUAUCCACCUUUCAGGUACAUCCCUCGGAGUAUUUCUUUCCUCUUUCAAGGCUCAUGACUCUUACAGGCAGCAGCACUUGUGUGUGGUAUUGAAGGCUUGGCUUGUGUUGUUUUCCCAGCUAUCAAUAACUCCCAGAAUAGACACCCCGAUUCCCUCUUGCCAGAUUGGACAGGCAGCAUGGGACCAACUUGACCACACUGUCUCCCAUGUCUGAACAGCACUGGGCUGCCAAGAUGAGGGUUACAUGUACACUGCAGAAGUUGGGUCUCUGCUGUGAGCCCUGGCCUCUGUUUUGAAUCCUCUCUGGGACCAGAAGACCAUGAUCACAAUGUUUUGCAUUCAUACCUCAGGGGCCUAGCAGUCUCAACAGUAUAAUUCAGGGAGUUUAACAGCAACUUUUUUCCAGCUUUAACAACUGCUCUGAAAGUCAAAUCUCUUAAAUCUCUUUAAUCUCUUAAAGUGCCAAAUGUAAACAAAUGCCACUCUGCAUAAAAAUGUCUUUUUUUUUUUUUUUUU